GACGCACAUCAGAUGCACAGAAAGGCUGCCUGUGGGGGAAUUCGGACUGCAAGUGGAGAAUGGGGACUGCAGUGGAUUGAAGAUGGUCCCAAAUUCCUUGACACUCCCUGCAUGGAGAGGUUGCUGAAACCAUGUUCAGGAGCUCUGUUUGUGGUCCUAGCUGAGCCCAGCCUUGCAGCCAGCCCCCACCAGCCAAUGUCACCAGACAUGUAAGUGAAGCCAUCCUGGGAUCUCUAGACCAGUCCAGCACACCUACAGGCUGAUUACCAUGGAGUGACCUCCGUUGGCACCACAUUCAUCAAGAGAAUCAACCAGCUGAGUCCUGCAAAUCCAAAUCCACACAAUUGUAAUAUGAUAAAGUAUCUAAC